CCAGUACCGUGAGGGAAAGGCGAAAAGAACCCCGGCGAGGGGAGUGAAAAAGAACCUGAAACCGUGUACGUACAAGCAGUGGGAGCACGCUUAGGCGUGUGACUGCGUACCUUUUGUAUAAUGGGUCAGCGACUUAUAUUCUGUAGCAAGGUUAACCGAAUAGGGGAGCCGAAGGGAAACCGAGUCUUAACUGGGCGUUAAGUUGCAGGGUAUAGACCCGAAACCCGGUGAUCUAGCCAUGGGCAGGUUGAAGGUUGGGUAACACUAACUGGAGGACCGAACCGACUAAUGUUGAAAAAUUAGCGGAUGACUUGUGGCUGGGGGUGAAAGGCCAAUCAAACCGGGAGAUAGCUGGUUCUCCCC
rnacentral:rRNA from 1 species